UCUCUCUCUCAAAUAAAUAAAAAUUUUUUUAAAUAUUUAAAAAAACAAAAAAGAAGAGAGUAUUGCCUUUUAGAGGUAGGACAUGGCUGCCCAUUUGUCCAAGAGGUCAAAGUUGGCCAUUUCUUCAAAGAUAAUUUUUCUUUUGGUGUUUGCCUAAAUGUCACUCUGUCUCUCUAUACUCAAAGGGUCUCCUCCCCUCAAAUAGGUCCUGCCUACAUCAAAGGCACUGUUCUUACUUUUGUCCUACUGCAGUCCUCAGUUCCUGCUCCAUUUCCUUAGGUAACCCCCACCACCCUCAUCUUCCUUAUGCCUGUUCUACUUAGGGUUCUUUCCAGUGAAAGAAACAAACUAAUUGAAAGAAAAAAAAAUAAUAAUGCAUUGACUCAUAAAACUGGUUAAUCAGAAGACUUCAGGAGUGGCUGGAUCCAGGUUUACAAGACAUGCUUACACACCUCUGCAUGGUCUUUUGUACUCUCUCUCCCUCCCGCUUUCUGUCUCACUUCUUCUGUCUCCUGGUAUUUUCUCUGUAUUCCUUUCCAUCUCAGGCAAGCACUUUGUAUAUGGCAACAUCCUUGGCCACCAGCAGUCCCGGGAUUUAUUUGAUCCCAGACAAAAAGAGCAUUUCUGCCAGGAGCUCCAGAAACAGUUCCAGAAAGGUCUUGGGUUGACCCAGCUUGACCUUCUUUCAUGAGUUUCUCUGAUUCUCCUUGUAUAAAUCUUGUUUUCUGAGUCUGUUUUUCUCCCUACCUGUACCUCAGUCUCUGUCUCCUACUCCCAGAACUCUUUUAUAUGCAGGACAUUUUCAGUGCAAAGAAGUUGAGCGGGAUCAUAGUUAGCACUGGGCGUUCAGGAUCUAGGUUUAUACAUAUUUUCCCUCAUUGAUCACAAUUUCAGCCUUGUAGUACAGAUUCCAGAUAACAUCUGCCCUUUGUAAUAUCUGCUGUGUGUAAAAAUCCUAAACAAAGACUCGGAGAUUAACUGUUAUGGUUAAGAAAAUUCUCAGCAAAUGUGACCUACAUAAAAAUUAUUGGAGUGUAUUCAAUUUGAACACUAAUGCUGUUCUUUUGUAUUGUAUCCUUUUGUUUUAGGGAUGUGUUGCUUUUAAAAAUAGACUACAGAGGACUACAAAGGGCUCAAGGGUUUAUUCUGUCUGCAUUGCUUCCUCAGGGGGCCUCCUCUCUGGCUUGGAGUCUGUAAAAAAAAAAAAAUCUCCAGGAUUAGAGAUUCUAAAACAUCCUUGAUUACAUAUUCUGCUCUUCAAGUAACCUUACCGUCUGGGAGGUCUGUCUUUUUCUUUCUUCCUUUCUUCCUUCCUUCCUUUCUUCCUUCCUUCCUUCCUUCCUUUCUUUCUUUAUUUCUUUCUUCCUUUCUUUCUUUCUCCAAAGUCCCUUUGCUUCAGUCUAAACCUCUUUCUUCUGUCGUAUUCUUCAGAAAUUAAAUGUUGGCUCUUUUUUCUGUAAAAUACUAAAUGUGUCUGAAAAUAUUUCCCUGGCCCCUACCUGCCCAUCUCUACAGAUUAGAUAGACUAAGACUUCUGGCCUGAGGAUCCCAAUCUCUGAAUCAAGAGCAACCAAAUGUGGGAGAAUUAGGAGCCCAGAGCAGGCCCAAGUUCACUGACACUCUCUUGGAUGGAGACUUGGCUGUUUGUGAAUGUGGGCCCUUCUGUAGGUGACUUUGACCCAGGCUUCUCCACCUCUGCUCGCAGUUCUCAUUACCGAAGUUCUUGCUGAACCCACAUGCAUGGAUGAUAAACAAUAAAAUGCCAUACCCUACUCUUUUCCAGUUUAAGAAAUCAAAAGGUUAAAAUAUCACUCUAACCUCCAGACUGAGUAAAUGUCAUAAUUUUGGUUCCUGGAAUUGGUUCUGGAAUUGUACUAUUAGUUAUACAAUUAUUUAUCCACUUCCUUUCUAAUUGUAAAAACCAUUUUUAAGCAUACAGUACAGAAGUGUUAAAUAUAUUAUUGUAUAGCAGAUCACUAGAACUUUUUCAUCAAACUCUAUACCCAUUGAACAAUUCUCCAUUUCCCCUCUCUCCCAGCCCAGGGGAGCCACAUUCUACUUCCUGUUUCUAGAAGUUUGACUUUAGAUACCCUUACAUAUUUGGAAUCAUACCAAAUUUAUCUUCUUGGGACUGGCCUAUUUCACUUAACAUAAUGGUGUCAAGAUUCAUCCAUGGUAUAGCAUAUGAUAGGAUUUCCUUCUUUUUUAUGGCUGAAAAAUAUUUCAUUGUAUGUGUAUACCACCUUUUUAAAAUUCAUGCAUCUGUCAGUGGACGUUUGGGUUGCUUCCAACUCUUGGCUGUUGCAAAUAACGCUGUAGUGAAUAUGUGUGUGAAAUUAUGCUUCUUUCUGGAAGUGAAAUUAUUGCUAGGGAUCUUAGAAACCAUCUGGUCCAACUCCCUUAUUUUGCACACGAGGAAAUCGAGGCUUCAGAAUGGUCACGCUGCAUGUCUGUGCCUGAACUGGGAUGGAUCCAGCUCUUCAAAUUCCCACUUUAAUUGUCUCUCCGCUGCAUCAUUGUCUUGACUGGGACCAAGACAGUGCCAGCAAGGCCGUUCAUGCCAUAUUUCUAUUAAAGCAUCCCGGAGGGUCAUCAUGUUUUUUUUAACACAAGCACUUUAAUGCCAACAUCCAACCUAUGAUCAUUUCUGAUCAUCAUUGUCAGUGUGUAACCAGAAUUUCUAGGCCUUAAAUAUACAGGAUUAUUGUACAUAUCCCUUGUGAAUGUCAUCAUAGUGGUCGGAGAACAUUUCUCGAAUUUGUCACUGUCUAUCUUUGUUCUAUGGGUAUUCUCUAACUUAGAAGCUCCACCUGUCUUGUUACCAUGUUAUGUAAUAUAUUCGAGAUACUGCACUGUCCUAUCCAGUAGCCCCUACCCUUGUGUGGCGAAUUAAACUUAAAGAAAACUCAAAAUUCAGCUCCUCAUUUGAAUGCUCCACAUUUACAGCAGUUCAGUGUUUCCCAAACUUAGCAGUGAAUUCUCUCACCACAAAGCACCUCACAGGACUUUUCUUCCAUGGAACAACUUGUGGGAAACACUGCCCUGUGCUAUUAUUUACAUAAUUGGUUCAGCAUCUUUCAUGUCUCCCAACAUGGUCAGGUACAGGGCGGGACAGAUGUUUUACUGUUGCAGGAAUAUAAUUUUGUAUCAUCGGCAAACGCGCACGCCAUCAGAUGGUUUGUGUUACAAUUUGGUUGAUUAUUUGAUUUGUGUGAUCAUUUUUAGAAACGUUCACGUUCUACCAGUCACGUCAACCAGUAUAAAAUGACUGUGGUUCCCUUUCUCGCGUGUUGCAAACUUGGCUGGUACACUGACCUUUCUCCAGUCGCUGUGCUUCCCUCACGGUUCCUGAAGACUCCAGCUGCUCAUGUAAUCCCUUACCUCCAUUCACUGUUGAAUGCUUGUAUGUCCAUUGUGGGGGUCCAGGCAUGGAUUUUUUAUUAGAAUUUUUAUUUCGGAAGAGCUUUAGAUUCAGAGUAAAGUGACAGAAAUGUCAGAGUUUCCUUGCAUCUCACACCCAUUUGUCCCGACUGUUAACAUCUCACACAAGUACUGACACACUCCUCACAACUAAUGAACCAGUAUUGAUACCUUAUUAUUAUUAACUAAUGUCUUUACUUUAUGAGACUCUUCCUUAGUUUUUACCUAAUGUCCUUUUUGCAUUCCAGGAUACCCUCCAGGAUAUAAUCUAUUUAGUCAUUAUGUCUCUUUGAGUGCAUGUAGACUGUGACAGCUUCCUAGCCUUUCUUUGCUUUUGAUGACCGUGACCGCUUUGAAAGGAAAACUGGUCAGGUAUUUUGCAGAACGCCCUUCAGUAUGGGUUUGCCUAAUCUCUUUUCGUGAUGAGACUGAGCUUAUGGGUUUGGGGAAGGAAAACCACAGAGAUAAAGUGCUAUUCUCAUCAAAUCGUUUCAAGAAUAAUUCCUAUCAGUGUGACUUAUCACUGAUGAUGUUCUGGGAUUGAUUUUUAUGUCUCCAAUGCAUGUAGUCCUCUCUAGACAGUUCCUUCUGAAUUCUGGAUCGACUUUCCACUUACCCACCACAAAUUGUUCUGUGUAUCUUCGUGGUGACUAUUUUUUAACAUGAUGAAUGAAUGCAUCUAUUGUAAGCUCAAUGUUUGGGCAAGUAGAAUCGCUGCUAAAAAAUAAAAAAUUAGUUAUCUACCUUAAACAAUUAUGCGGUUGAUAUAGAUUAUAUAAUCUUGUGGGUCUGAAAGUCUGUGUGUGAGAGGAGCUGUUUUUUCUACCCUGAGCCCCUUGAUUAGGGCCUAUAGCUACUUCUUAGUUACCAUAUGUGCUAAACAGUCCUUAAAAAACCUACACUAUGGGGGCACCUGGGUGGCUCA